AGAGUUUGAUCCUGGCUCAGGAUGAACGCUGGCGGCGUGCUUAACACAUGCAAGUCGAACGAAGCAUUUACACGGAAUCCCUCGGGAGGAAGUGUGAAUGACUGAGUGGCGGACGGGUGAGUAACGCGUGGGCAACCUGCCCCGUACCGGGGGAUAACAGCCGGAAACGGCUGCUAAUACCGCAUAUGCUUUGCGGACCGCAUGGCCCGCAAAGCAAAACUCCGGUGGUACGGGAUGGGCCCGCGUCUGAUUAGCUGGUUGGCGGGGUAACGGCCCACCAAGGCGACGAUCAGUAGCCGGCCUGAGAGGGCGGCCGGCCACAUUGGGACUGAGACACGGCCCAGACUCCUGCGGGAGGCAGCAGUGGGGAAUAUUGCACAAUGGGGGAAACCCUGAUGCAGCGACGCCGCGUGGGCGAGGAAGUACCUCGGUAUGUAAAGCCCUAUCAGCAGGGAAGAAACAAGACAGUACCUGACUAAGAAGCCCCGGCUAACUACGUGCCAGCAGCCGCGGUAAUACGUAGGGGGCAAGCGUUAUCCGGAUUCACUGGGCGUAAAGGGAGCGCAGGCGGCAUGGCAAGUCUGAUGUGAAAACCCGGGGCCCAACCCCGGGAGUGCAUUGGAAACUGCCAGGCUGGAGUGUCGGAGGGGUAAGCGGAAUUCCUAGUGUAGCGGUGAAAUGCGUAGAUAUUAGGAGGAACACCAGUGGCGAAGGCGGCCUGCUGGACGAUGACUGACGUUGAGGCUCGAAAGCGUGGGGAGCAAACAGGAUUAGAUACCCUGGUAGUCCACGCCGUAAACGAUGACUACUAGGUGUCGGGUGGCAAAGCCAUUCGGUGCCGCAGCAAACGCAAUAAGUAUUCCACCUGGGGAGUACGUUCGCAAGAAUGAAACUCAAAGGAAUUGACGGGGACCAGCACAAGCGGUGGAGCAUGUGGUUUAAUUCGAAGCAACGCGAAGAACCUUACCAAGUCUUGACAUCCUGCUGACCGUCCCUUAGCCGGGGCUUUCCUUCGGGACAGCAGAGACAGGUGGUGCAUGGUUGUCGUCAGCUCGUGUCGUGAGAUGUUGGGUUAAGUCCCGCAACGAGCGCAACCCCUAUCCCCAGUAGCCAGCAGUAAGAUGGGCACUCUGUGGAGACUGCCAGGGAGAACCUGGAGGAAGGCGGGGAUGACGUCAAAUCAUCAUGCCCCUUAUGAUUUGGGCUACACACGUGCUACAAUGGCGUAAACAGAGGGAGGCGAAGGAGCGAUCCGGAGCAAACCCCAGAAAUAACGUCCCAGUUCGGAUUGCAGGCUGCAACCCGCCUGCAUGAAGCUGGAAUCGCUAGUAAUCGCGGAUCAGAAUGCCGCGGUGAAUACGUUCCCGGGUCUUGCACACACCGCCCGUCA
rnacentral:rRNA from 1 species